ACACGGAGAGACAAAGGCCAGCUGGUAAAACGUGCUUCAUUUCCAAGCGGGAAAGGACCCAAAGCUUUGGGAUACGGAAGCCAGGAAGGAUGGUGCCUGGAUGAGGAAUGACGACAGAGGUUCUGAUAACACAACAUCUUCUAACUGGUUACACCUGGAGGGAAAGACUGUAAAAAUGUCACCCAGCUGAGACCACAUUGAGUGGCCCCGAGGCCCCAGCAUUACCAGUUACACCAGCAACUCCCAGAUCACUAAUUAAGGCGAAGAGGCGGACAGUGACUCACGCUGGAAAGAGCCCAGCUGCAGAGCCCUCCCAGCCCUCGGGAAGCAUCCGCGUCCUCAUGCGAUGGGAAUCGCCUUGAUCAAGGCAGCUUUGGCACGAGGUUCCCGGGAAAACAGCGGAAGCCGGUGCCGAGGGAGAUGAGGGGCCCCCCAGCGCAGCCCCCGCCGCGGCAUCACCUCCUCCAGCUGGACGCGGCCACACGAGGUCCUGCUGGCUGACCAAACUCUCCCUCGAAGGCGCGAGUGGUGGCGGACAGCGGCUCUCGCCCCCGGAGCGCGGUGGGGAAGGUGGACGGGGAAGUACCCGUAUCCCGGCACAGAGAUGGGGUGUGUAAGAGAACAGGAGGCCCCCAAGCGUGUAUUUUCUCCCCAGGGGCUCCAGGCUGUGCCAUGACGGGGACGCUGUGGCUGCAGAGCUGAGGGCCACCCGGCUGGGCCACCAAGCGCCCACGGGCUGGGCAUCACCCACGUUCCUUGUUCUCAGUGCAGAGCGGGAGGAGACGCAUCGCGUGGGGCCGUGAAGCACAUCCGUGUGUGGACCGCCUGGCUGAGCUCGGCGCAGGCAAUCCGUGGGUGUGCACGGCACUCACGGCCCUCUGUGUGGGUUAUAACACGCGUUCUGCUUGCACGAGGCAAUUUGUCUCCACCCUGGAUCCGUGUGGGACGCUUUGCCUGCAGAUAAAACCAGCUCGCUGUUCAAGGUAAUAUUCGUCUCCAAACCUGGGAAGGACCGAAGAUGGCGGCUGCCUCUUUCACAGCUGCAGGGUGGGUGCGUGUUAACAACGGAUGCGGGGGAGCCCGGGGUCAAGGGCAAGAACUCUGAGUCUCUCUUGUGCCUGCCCUACAACCCCGGGCUGGUAACUAGCUGUGUGGGAGGCUUCAGCUCCUCUGCCAGAGGACAGCGAGCGAGAGCACCUGGCCGGGGCCCCAGGAGCCGCGGCGGGAAACGGACGGGGCAGGCACAGCCCAGAGCAUUGAGCCCGCAUUCUGGGAUGCAGGGGUGCGGACGGCUGGGGCGGCAGCGCACACGGCGAGAGAAGCCCCAGGGGCGCGUG